rnacentral:rRNA from 1 species
CGAAGCUGCGGAUUUGUACUUAUGUACAAGUGGUAGGGGAGCGUUGUGUAAGCCUGUGAAGAUGAACCGGGAGGUUUGUUGGAGGUAUCACAAGUGCGAAUGCUGACGCAAGUAACGAUAAAACGAGUUAAAUGCUCGUUCGCCGGAAGACCAAGGUUUCCUGUCCAACGUUAAACGGGGCAGGGUGAGUCGGAGCCUAAGGCGAGGAUGAAAAUCGUAGUCGAAGGGAAACGGGUUAAUAUUCCCGUACCGAGCAAUAUUGCGAUGUGGUGACGGAGAAGGUAAAGUUAGCCAGGCGAUGGUUGUCCUGGUAAAAGGUUGUAGGUAGUAUCGAGGGUUAAAAGACUUGAUACCAUAAUCUGAGAACCGAGACGAAGUAGACACUGUCUAUCAAGUAACUCUAUCCAUGCUUCCAGGAAAAGCCACUAAGCUUCAGAUAUUGUUCGUCCGUACCCCAAACCGACACAGGUGGUCGGGUAGAAGAUACCAAGGCGCUUGGGAGAACUUAGGUGAAGGAACUAGGCAAAAUUGUACCGUAACUUCGGGAGAAGGUACGCUAUGAGGGGUGAAAAGAUUUACUCUUAGAGCUCUUUAUAGCCGCAGAUAAAUGGUGGCUGGGACUGUUUAACAAAAACACAGCACUCUGCAAACCUGAAAGGGGAAGUAUAGGGUGUGACACCUGCCCGGUGCCGGAAGGUUAAAUGAUGAGGUUAGCUCUUUUGCAACGCCUCUGAGUGAAGCCCCGGUAAACGGCGGCCGUAACUAUAACGGUCCUAAGGUAGCGAAAUUCCUUGUCGGGCAAGUUCCGACCUGCACGAAUGGUGUAACCAUGGCCACGCUGUCUCCACCUAAGACCCAGUGAAACCGAAAUCGCUGUGAAGAUGCAGUGUACCCGCGGCUAGACGGAAAGACCCCGUGAACCUUUACUGCAGCUUGACACUGAACCUUGAACCUAUUUGUGUAGGAUAGGCGGGAGACAUAGAAGUAUAGACGCUAGUUUAUAUGGAGUCACCCUUGAAAUACCGCCCUGAUAGUUUUGAGGUUCUAACUAAAGAUGAAUAUCUGAGGACAGUGUCUGGUGGGAAGUUUGACUGGGGCGGUCUCCUCCCAAAGAGUAACGGAGGAGCACGAAGGUUAGCUGAUCACGGUCGGAAACCGUGAGGUCAGUGCAAUGGCAUAAGCUAGCUUGACUGCGAGAGCAACAACUCGAGCAGGUGCGAAAGCAGGUCAUAGUGAUCCGGUGGUCCCUUAUGGACGGGCCAUCGCUCAACGGAUAAAAGGUACUCUGGGGAUAACAGGCUGAUACCGCCCAAGAGUUCAUAUCGACGGCGGUGUUUGGCACCUCGAUGUCGGCUCAUCACAUCCUGGGGCUGUAGUUGGUCCCAAGGGUAUGGCUGUUCGCCAUUUAAAGUGGUACGCGAGCUGGGUUCAAAACGUCGUGAGACAGUUUGGUCCCUAUCUACCGCGGGCGUUGGAUGAUUGAGGGGGAUUGCUCCUAGUACGAGAGGACCGGAGUGAACGAGCCUCUGGUUUACGGGUUGUCAUGCCAAUGGCACCGCCCGGCAGCCAAGCUCGGAACUGAUAACCGCUGAAAGCAUCUAAGCGGGAAGCAGGCCCCAAGAUGAGUCAUCCCUGACUUUAAGUCAAUAAAGACCGUUGUAGACUACGACGUUGAUAGGCUGGAUGUGGAAGUACCGUGAGGUAUGUAGCUUGCCAGUACUAAUUCUCUGAAUGUCUUGACC